rnacentral:rRNA from 1 species
GCAUAACGCGAAGAACCUUACCCACCUUUGACAUGUACGGAAGUUGCCAGAGAUGGCUUCGUGCUCGAAAGAGAGCCGUAACACAGGUGCUGCAUGGCUGUCGUCAGCUCGUGUCGUGAGAUGUUGGGUUAAGUCCCGCAACGAGCGCAACCCUUGCCAUUAGUUGCUACGAAAGGGCACUCUAAUGGGACUGCCGGUGACAAACCGGAGGAAGGUGGGGAUGACGUCAAGUCCUCAUGGCCCUUAUAGGUGGGGCUACACACGUCAUACAAUGGCUGGUACAGAGGGUUGCCAACCCGCGAGGGGGAGCCAAUCCCACAAAGCCAGUCGUAGUCCGGAUCGCAGUCUGCAACUCGACUGCGUGAAGUCGGAAUCGCUAGUAAUCGCGGAUCAGAAUGUCGCGGUGAAUACGUUCCCGGGUCUUGUACACACCG